UUCCUUUCUCAACUCCUCCUACCUCCCUCUUCCCCGUUUACGCAAAUCCAAUAACACCAAAAUCCUUCUCUAUCUUAUGGUCUCCAACAGAGUUCCCUGAGAUCAUAACUUCUGAUGUAAUUGUUACUACUACAAACAUAUCUGUCAAUCUACCCAUUUGACCAUAUAAAAUGUUCACAAAAUCACCAAAUAUUCUCCUUCUAAUUAUCUAAUAUACUUUUGAUUACAGACUUUACAUUUAAUACACAAGCAAGCGAAUAAUUCCAUGAUUAACACAACUGCACUUAGGUAAAGUAAGGAUUCAUGUGACAUCAUUUCCCUCAUUGCUUUUCACAGAGCAAGAGUAAUAUGUGCCCUUACCCCCUCUCCCUGCUCCAACAAAAAGAACUUUGGCAUCAAAUUGUGAAAAACAAGAUGCUGCAGACUUGCGUACAGUCAUUGGCAUAGGCAAUUUGGUACCAUCCAACAUUAAAAUGAACUACUCCUAACCACCAAAUAAAUGACACUAACGUUCUUCAAGUCCUCCUGCUAAUAGCAUCACUCAUAUGCUCCCAUGCCAAAUCUAUAACUUCAACUAACUGUUGAUGUCAUAACUGUAGCCAUGUCAUAUUCUUGUGCAAUUUCUUCUCGAGCAAAACCUAUUUCCUCUUUUUCUAGGAAGUGCUAUUCUACUCCAUUUCAAUUGGUAAACAGCUGUCAACAACUCAACAUGACUGUCUCACUCUUUCUCAACGAAAAUUCAAACUAAAAAAUGACUUGCAUCUGUUUUGGCUCCCCCCCUUUCAUCUCCUCCUUUGUCAUCACUAAAUCUUUUCCCAUGAUAUUUCAGCUAAAAACCCAUCAUGAUUUCAGUAGUUUAUACGAUCUGGUUCUCUCUCUGGGAAAUCUAUUCCGUACUGAGAAGACCGUCCUUGACCAAUUAACCAUGCUGAGGAUGAUGAUAUCGACGGAGAUUUUGCCAGUAAUCGUCGCAAAGUAAAAUAAAGAGUGCUCCUUGGAUGCUCAAGAAGAUCCUAAAAUGCAGCGACUUUGCAGAGCAGUGUAGAGGGUGGGCUGCCAUGAUGGAAAAUGAUCGGUUUUCUUUUCCAUAAAGAAAAUGUAUAAAGUGAUGAAAGGAGAUCAUGGCAAAGCUCGAUGUAGAAGGGUGCAUGUUAUACUUCAGCUAGUGGAAGAAGCUUAUUCAUGUUAUGGCUGGCUCUCCAAGAUAAGCUUGCCACUUUGGAUAGGCUUACAAAAUGAAACAUUAGUGGUGUUGUGAUCUCAUCCGCAGUUUGUGAAUUGGAUAAUGAAACAUGCAGUCAUUUAUUUUCCAGCUGUCAGUUCACAGGGGAAAUAUAUGGUGCAAGGUUCUGCAGUUGCUUGGGUUUGGAAGAGCUCCUUGAAAUCUCUCAAUUGAAGUCAGCAAUGUCAUUAGAGUCGCUAAGAGGUCUUCUAACAGAAGCAAGCUUUAUCUAAUUUUUAGCUGUAUCUAUAUAGGUCAUACAGGUUUAUAGGAAUGAUAGGGUUGUUAAUAAUGUACGUAGAUCUGCUGACAGUUUGUUUCUUGAUAUUAUUUAAGAGUUGCAAGUACAGCUUACGAUAUU